AACAGGAUUAGAUACCCUGGUAGUCCACGCUGUAAACGAUGUCGACUUGGAGGUUGUUCCCUUGAGGAGUGGCUUCCGGAGCUAACGCGUUAGGUCGACCGCCUGGGGAGUACGGCCGCAAGGUUAAAACUCAAAUGAAUUGACGGGGGCCCGCACAAGCGGUGGAGCAUGUGGUUUAACUCGAUGCAACGCGAAGAACCUUACCUACUCUUGACAUCCAGAGAACUUAGCAGAGAUGCUUCGGUGCCUUCGGGAACUCUGAGACAGGUGCUGCAUGGCUGUCGUCAGCUCGUGUUGUGAAAUGUUGGGUUAAGUCCCGCAACGAGCGCAACCCUUAUCCUUUGUUGCCAGCGAUUCGGUCGGGAACUCAAAGGAGACUGCCAGUGAUAAACUGGAGGAAGGUGGGGAUGACGUCAAGUCAUCAUGGCCCUUACGAGUAGGGCUACACACGUGCUACAAUGGCAUAUACAAAGAGAAGCGACCUCGCGAGAGCAAGCGGACCUCAUAAAGUAUGUCGUAGUCCGGAUUGGAGUCUGCAACUCGACUCCAUGAAGUCGGAACCGCCAGUAAUCGUGGAUCAGAAUGCCACGGUGAAUACGUUCCCGGGCCUUGUACACACCGCCCGUCACACCAUGGGAGUGGGUUGCAAAAGAAGUAGGUAGCUUAACCUUCGGGAGGGCGCUUACCACUUUGUGAUUCAUGACUGGGGUGAAGUCGUAACAAGGUAACC
rnacentral:rRNA from 1 species